rnacentral:rRNA from 1 species
GACGAACGCUGGCGGCGUGCUUAACACAUGCAAGUCGAGCGAGGACAUUUAGCAAUAGAUGUUCUAGCGGCGGACGGGUGAGUAACGCGUGAGCAAUCUGUCCCAGACAGGGGGAUAACAGAUGGAAACAUCUGCUAAUACCGCAUAAGACCACGGUUUCACAUGGGAUCGGGGUAAAAGGCGAAAGCCGGUUUGGGGUGAGCUCGCGUCCGAUUAGCUGGUUGGCGGGGUAACGGCCCACCAAGGCGACGAUCGGUAGCCGACCUGAGAGGGUGAUCGGCCACACUGGAACUGAGAGACGGUCCAGACUCCUACGGGAGGCAGCAGUGGGGAAUAUUGGGCAAUGGGGAAACCCUGACCCAGCAACGCCGCGUGAGGGAAGAAGGUUUUACGGAUUGUAAACCUCUGUCCUUGGUGAAGAAGAGAUGACGGUAGCCAAGGAGAAGCCCGGCUAACUACGUG